CUCUCUCUCUCUCUCUCUCUCUCUCUCUCUCUCUCUCUCUCUCUCUCUCCUAAUGACGCUAACAAAAAUGAGUCUUCUCAUCGUGCACCACCGGCAAAACGCGCUAAGCGGCUAUUGUUCUAUUCUACCCACUGGGAACUGUACUUAACUAGGCACUUCUACCUGGAGUUAAGUCUACUAAUGUGUUAUUUUUUUAUGAUUUCCAAAUGGGAAGACGGUUGACUUGAAAUAACAGAAACGUCAAUGGUGCUUUUUAAUCAAUUAUUGUUAUGAUGAUAUAAAAGAUAAAAUAUUGUUUUAUGCAUUAACCUCAUAGUUCCCACAGAAUUUACCGAGCUUUGAUGACAUAAGACGAUCUAAUAUAGCAUUUACAGUACCCUGAUAAGAGUAAUGCCUGCUUUUAAUCGUUAUGGUGUAGAAGGCAACAUUAUUUAAACACCAAUAAACCCGACUAAGGUAAAAGUAAAGCAAAGAAAAUUAAAUAAUAGGCUAGUUUAUUUUAUAUAUUUAACAAAGUUAUAAUAAAAUUGUAAUUUUUUUAAGGCAAUGUCUAUUUUUGUUUUCUAAUAAUUUACAGUGAAUUAAUAACAUUAAUCAGAUUAAUGUAUAAUAAUAAUUUUUUUGUUGUUGUUGCAAAAUUAACAGACAAAACACGAAUUUUAAAAAUACAUUUUGUUAUUUGUUAGACAUAAUGACGAAAAACACAUUGUUAGGGUCUGACCCUAAAAAUAGUCAUUCAGUCGCAACUUUUCAUAUCUAAUUCAGCUCAGUGAAACUGUAUAGGCUAGUACAUUUUGUAUUGAUCUGUGUUUUUCUUUCUUUUUCUUUUUUGUUUUUUACAGAAUGAGCGGUGUGGUGGUGGUUGUUGCUGUUGUUUUUCCUAUUAUUAUAAUUUCGUCUGUGGAAUUUUGAACUGUCAAUAUUUCUCUACUUAGCGUAUUUGUCUGGCCGCUCCUUAAUGAACAAAAAGCGACAAAAUAAAAAUAUUCUGUGAACAUAUUAUUAUUAUUAUUAUUAUUAUUAUUAUUAUUAUUAUUAUUAUUAUGUACAAAUGAUUAUUAUCGAACGAGAAUGUUCUUCCGUACUGUUGGUCAGUCCUUAGAUCAAAACGGCCUUUAUCUCUGAUCUUUUCUCCCUCUGUGUGUGUGUGUGUGUGUGUGUGUGUGUGCGUGUGUGUGUGUGUGUGUGAGAGAGAGAGAGAGAGAGAGAGAGAGAGAGAGAGAGAGAGAGAGAGAGAGAGAGAGUGUGUGUUUGCGAGAGAGAGAGAGAGAGAGAGAGAGAGAGAGAGAGAGAGACGGUGAUGUCGCCUCGAUUGUUAUCCUGCACUGUUGGUUGAUUUGACUGUCGGUAACAAAGCGCGCGGCGGAUAGGUGGAUAGGGAGCUGGUGCAGCUCGCCUGAAAGCCGGGAGUCAGUCCCAGUCUGCGGAGUUCAAAGCAACUUAGAAAGAAAGAGAGGAAGUAAAAUCCUCUUUUAGUGAGGACAUUAGAGUGGCACCUGAUGAUGUCGACUGUGACAAGUGUUAAUUGCUACGCAGCUCUCCUAAUUAGGGAUUUUCAGAUUGUGGUGCGGCUGCGGGGCAGAUAGAUCACUGUUUGGAUUACUGCCCUGAAACACACUGAGGCUGCACACAAGUCGCCCAUUAGUUUGUGUAAACCGAUGUUAAGCAAAUUAUAUGUAGAAAAAUAAUGAUAUUUUCAGUUAUUAUUCUUUUUUUUUUUUUUUUUUUUUUUUUUUUUUUUGUUCUUUUGGAAACAGCACAAGAUUUUAAUAAUUUAUCCUAGGUUUACGCCCCUUUCAGCAUGAUUUUAAAUAUGAAAAAGUCUAUUUAAACUCUAAUUAAUUUAGUUGAUCUAAUAUGGUAUUUGUAUUAACUGUUAUGAAAAUGUACUUGUGAAAAUAUAUUUCCCAUCUCCUUUGGUUUAUUGCUGUAUCUAUAUCAAGUUUCUUUGUGAAGUCGGGUCUUUUUCUGAAUUAUUUAUUUAUUUAUUUAUUUUGUCUUUUGUUUUAAUUAGCUACGUUAUUUAUACUGCAAUGGCUAUCAGAAAUGGCUGACUAUAGGCUAUCCAAAUUAAGUAUCGUAAUAAUUUCAUAGUAUUUCAUAAGCUGUUAUAAAUAUUCAUAUUCAUAUAACGAGCACAGAAAAUAUUCUUCGGGAAAAAAAAUCUUCAGAAAACACACCAUACAUGUUUUAUAUUGUAUUCCACGUUGCUUCCUUUUUAAAUGUAACUUUUGUGAGUUUUGUCUUUGUUUCUGUUUCGCUGUCUGUUCAGGUAGGCUAUGUCGUGCAGUCUGUUUAAGAGCUGUAUUCUUCUGGCUAUAUUUUGGUUCUUUUUUUUAAAAAAAGUAGUCACAUGGUUCGUAUUAGACUUGUAUUAUUAUUAUUAUUAUUAUUAUUAUUAUUAUUAUUAUUAUUAUUAUUUAUUUAUUUAUUUAUUUAUUUUUUUGCAUAUUUCUUGUUACCAACUGGCAUUUAUUUAUAUUGGGCUGGGGAUAUAAAGCUUUGUUAUUGCUCUGCCUCGGGUGAAUUGUUUAUGACACGGCUAAUGGGAGUAAUUGUUAUUGUUGAAAUUGCCUGUCAGGAGAGUGACAGCGGAUAUUCUGGCGCGCUUUUCCGCUGAUCGGCCUCCUCCGCCGGGUAAUGAACAGCGCCACCGUCCCAUAAUGCGCCUGUCAAUGCCGCAUGCCGCGCCACUCUCAUCUCAUUGAUGACGAAAAAAACAUCGAGACGAGUUGAGAAGAGUUGAGUUGCGAGCAGUGAGGAUAUUGUGCAUGUGCUGCAUGUGCUUUGUAUUAAUGAAAUCAUUUAGGAGGGAUACAAUACUCUAAGAGGCAGGAGCCAAUCUUCUGAUGAGGCUACUCAUCUUCAUAUUGUCAGGCACAAAAACAGGUACACAUAUACAGUAUACACGCUCCCCAUAUUGACCUUAUACUCAAGCCCCUUGUGUGUUUACUGCCCUCUCACUGCCUCCUCUCCCUCUCUUUCCCUCUCUCUCUUCGCACACACACACACACACACACACACACACACACACACACACACAGACACACACACCCAUACACAUACACACACGCACACUGUACAUUCACAGCUACAGGCAUUAACCUGUGGGAAACCUUUAUGAAAGUGCUUCCACUGCCAUGUUCCAAUAUAUAAGAUAAUACAUCCUAAAAUGACUUUUUUGGCCUCACCAUUAAGGCUUUCCAUUUUAAUAAAUGUGAGCAGUGUGGUGAGACAGGUUUGGGGCAAUCUCUAACCGUAUGGUUGUUUUAUCUGUGUUGUCAGUGUGAAAGGAGGGGGAAGGCUUGCCCAGAGAGAGUUCCCCAGGUGCUGCAGAAGAGCCGUUGCACUUAAACUUGUUUCAUGAUAUCAUAAAGCUGCACUAGAUAUCCAAAUGAACAACUCGUGCCUUUCAUUGACCCCUGUACAGAAAAUCACUAGCGACAAUAGGUUUAGAGGGAGAGGAAUAGAAGCUGAAAGGGAAAGGCGGGGGUAGUGAUAAUGUUGGCAAGCCCGGUGUGGGAGCAGGUGCCAGCAGAGAGGAUAAUAAACACAAUACACAUGACAAGAUGGCUACUCACUCCAACUAAUGUCUUUUGGCUGUGGUUAGGUCAUCGGUCUCAAAAUUCCACAUCAGCUUAAUGAGCAUUUCUUUUCUUUGCCUUCUAAUUUUCUGCUCUCGUUUCUUAUUAAUUUCUUUUCUGUCUUUCAUAAACCUGCUGUCCUUCCCUCUCACCCUGCUGUCUUUUUUUUGCUUCUGACCUGCACCUUGGGCUUCUCUCUCUCUCUCUCUCUCUCUCUCUCUCUCUCUCUCUCUCUCUCUCUCGCUCUCGCUCUCGCUCUCUAUCUCACCAGUCAGGAUCUUAAUCAGCACCAGAUGGACACGGUGUCGAAAUUGUCCAAGAGGCUCGGAGAACGCAGGGAGCUGUCAGGCCUGUGGAGAGAGUGGAAUUCUUCAGCAAUAAAACUGGGAUUUAUUGCCUCUCUAGACCCUGCUCUGAUAAAAUGUUCCUUUUCAGAUAGAGGGAGGCCACUGUCCAUUACACUCACCCAACUCCACUACCAACCUAACAACAAGCUGCUGUCAGAGACCGAAAGCCUUCUCAUCCCCUACCGAGCCAAAUGAACCUGCUAAAAUAGCUGCUUUCCACAAUAGACUGGGUAAUUGAAACCAGAAUGUGGAGGAUUUGAUAAAUAGCUUGACCCUAAAGGAAUGCUCAAGUCAUAAAUUUUAAGUGCAUUUUGGCUGGGUAUUUUGGGUAAAUGCAUGUCUGUGCAUGUGUCUUGGUGUGUGCAUAUAUGUUCGCAUGUGUGUACAGGUCUGAAAUUUUAUUAUUUGUAUUAGUGGAUUUUUUCCCUUCGAUUUGGAGCAGGCACACAUGUAUACCAAAACCUUUGUGGGUUUUAAAGCACCUUUCUAGCCUAAGAUCAAAUGCAUGACAAAUAUUCUGAGUUUAUGGAGUUCUUUCACGUAGGCUAUAACUGGUUUAGAUUAAAGCAAAUUACAUGUGAAAUUCCAAAACAUGUGGCAGAAGGGUGUGACACGUUUAUCCAAUAAAACAGGUAAUAGCAUCUACAUUUAAAAUGUUAAAAAUUGUGACUAACACAAAGAAAAAAAGACUUGCUAAAACAUGUAUGUAUGUUUGCACAGGAAUGAAGUGGAUUUACUGACAUAUCUGUUAACUAUGUAAUCAUGUUAACCAUGUAAACAUAAAAACAUUCAGACACAAAGAUUUUUUUUCAUCAACGCAAAUUAUUCAUCAUUCAAAAAUAUUCUGGUCCCAAACAACUACGUUUCAACUCAUGUUAAUGACAAUAUUAUGAUAAAAGCUCAUUUAAUGUUUGAUUGAGGUAGCUGAAUCAUGAACAUGUUUAUAUGAUUCUGGUGUGUGGCUGUAGAAGACAUUCUGGCAUGUGGCUGGGCCAGCACUGUGUAAACAGAGCCAAAUAUUCAAUUUAUGAUGCUUGUCCCAGCUAAACCAGGGGUCUGUUUAUUUUUAGUAGCAUAAUUAUUUUUUGCAGCUUUUCAGUUACUAAGAAUAGGUGUUGUGUUUUUCUAAGAGCUGAAGGGCAUAUAUAGGUGCUGGGAAUGGUUUUCUCUGUGAUCCUUAACAAAGUCUUAAUUAUGUUUUGUUUUUGUGUCCCUCUGUGACUUUCUUUAGGGUGAUAAAUUAUACAGUCAUGCUAAAAGAACCUUGCCACACAAGACAGACUUCCACAGGGUACCUGGCUUGCUGACAGUUACCUGUUCAGCCCUCUGGUGCAGGAAUAAAAUGAACUCUAUUAUGAGUCAGAUGCAUAAAUAUUUCCAUUUCUAUUUUCCAAAACUGUUUUUAAUUUUACAAGUUUUAUAGCUCUAAUAUUAAGUGCAUGUGUUUUACAAGGCAUUGUGUCCUCUGAGUCACCCCCAGCUCCCCAGUAAAAAAAAAAAAAAAAAAAAAAAAAAAAAAAAAUUUUUCUACCUUGGGGAAGGGGGGAUUCAUGGGCCCCUUUCAAACACACUCCUCCACAUCCUAUAACCUCAUGGCCUUCCUUUUUAGGAACAGCAGCUCAGUGAGUUGGGGUCCAGGAACGGGUAACUCCCUGUGUCUCCCUGCUGGCAUGUUGAUCUAAGAGUCCAAAAACCUUCAUCGUCUUGACAAAGUUGUAUAUGCACUCAGUAUUCCAUGUAUAGAACAACUGCUCUGUUAAUAUGUUCUGACAUCCAAAAUAAAAUGGCCUGAUACAGUG